UGUAUCAUGGGGAGGUGCUAGCACUAGCCGUUGUUUUUUAGGUUGUCCAUUAGAUGUAAGUUUUUCUGAAUUUCAGACAUAUAUAGUUUUUGAUUAUGUCUACUUUCUAAUAUCGUUUGUUUGAUUUGCGUUUAGUUACCCGAAGAGUGUCAAGCUAGCACUAGCCGUUGUUUUUUAGGUUGUCCAUUAGAUGUAAGUUUUUCUGAAUUUCAGACAUAUAUAGUUUUUGAUUAUGUCUACUUUCUAAUAUCGUUUGUUUGAUUUGCGUUUAGUUACCCGAAGAGUGUCAAUGGGUGGUUUGGGUUGACCCAGCUCCUCCACUGCGUCUAGCCCUUGCUUUUGAAGAUUUGCAUGCAUAGGUUGAAGAUAGCUGGAUCAAAUGGCACCAUUAGAAGAAGGAAAACAUGGAGCUGGCAAGUAAGAACAUGGCUUUGAAGAAGAAACUUAGAGAGAGAUGAGAUGAUGCUCUUAUGGGCACUAUUGUUUGUGGGAAAUAUUAUAUUAGUUGUAUUGGUAUGGUAGAUGUACUGGUAUGUGCACUUGACUGUGUCGAUGACAAAUCUUAUGUGAUGCUGUUAUUAUUUGCACUUGACUGUAUCGACGGCAAAUAAAUCUUAUGUGACAACACACUGAAUAAGAUCAAAUAUUAAAG
rnacentral:lncRNA from 1 species